CAACCUGCCGCUUACUCGGGGAUAGCCUUUCGAAAGAAAGAUUAAUACCCGAUGGUAUAAAGAGUUCGCAUGUUCUCUUUAUUAAUGAAUUUCGGUAAGCGAUGGGGAUGCGUUCCAUUAGAUAGUUGGCGGGGUAACGGCCCACCAAGUCUACGAUGGAUAGGGGUUCUGAGAGGAAGGUCCCCCACAUUGGAACUGAGACACGGUCCAAACUCCUACGGGAGGCAGCAGUGAGGAAUAUUGGUCAAUGGACGAGAGUCUGAACCAGCCAAGUAGCGUGAAGGAUGACUGCCCUAUGGGUUGUAAACUUCUUUUAUAAGGGAAUAAAGUGAGGGACGUGUCCCUUUUUGUAUGUACCUUAUGAAUAAGGAUCGGCUAACUCCGUGCCAGCAGCCGCGGUAAUACGGAGGAUCCAAGCGUUAUCCGGAUUUAUUGGGUUUAAAGGGAGCGUAGGUUGACAUAUAAGUCAGCUGUGAAAGUUUACGGCUCAACCGUGUAAUUGCAGUUGAUACUGUAUGUCUUGAGUGUACAAGAGGUGGGCGGAAUUCGUGGUGUAGCGGUGAAAUGCUUAGGUAUCACGAAGAACUCCGAUUG
rnacentral:rRNA from 1 species